UGUUAGCGGCGGACGGGUGAGUAACACGUGGGUAACCUGCCUGUAAGACUGGGAUAACUCCGGGAAACCGGGGCUAAUACCGGAUGGUUGUUUGAACCGCAUGGUUCAAACAUAAAAGGUGGCUUCGGCUACCACUUACAGAUGGACCCGCGGCGCAUUAGCUAGUUGGUGAGGUAACGGCUCACCAAGGCAACGAUGCGUAGCCGACCUGAGAGGGUGAUCGGCCACACUGGGACUGAGACACGGCCCAGACUCCUACGGGAGGCAGCAGUAGGGAAUCUUCCGCAAUGGACGAAAGUCUGACGGAGCAACGCCGCGUGAGUGAUGAAGGUUUUCGGAUCGUAAAGCUCUGUUGUUAGGGAAGAACAAGUACCGUUCGAAUAGGGCGGUACCUUGACGGUACCUAACCAGAAAGCCACGGCUAACUACGUGCCAGCAGCCGCGGUAAUACGUAGGUGGCAAGCGUUGUCCGGAAUUAUUGGGCGUAAAGGGCUCGCAGGCGGUUUCUUAAGUCUGAUGUGAAAGCCCCCGGCUCAACCGGGGAGGGUCAUUGGAAACUGGGGAACUUGAGUGCAGAAGAGGAGAGUGGAAUUCCACGUG
rnacentral:rRNA from 1 species